rnacentral:lncRNA from 1 species
UCAGAAUGUCUAAGAUUAUGCAAAUGUGAAAACAAAUCACACAUCAAAGCUUUGAUGUUUCCACUCAAAAGUGUGACACAUGGUGCAUAAUGCAUUAAAGCAACGUGGUUUUGUACAAAGGCGUAUAUCAUCAAAAAGGGAAAAUGGAGGAAAUUUGCAGCAAACCCCCAGAAGUAAAAGGGAUAAAUGUGGAUUUGCAUUAUGUUAAAGGAGGGGGGAAGGAGGGAGGGAAGAUCUAUGCAUUUUAAAGAACUGCAGGUCAAUCUCUUAGUUAUUGGCAUUUAAAUAAAGUAAGAAGCUGUACUUAGCGUUUUGUUUUGCUUUAACCAGAGAAAUAGUGAAAGCCAGUCUGCAACCAGAUGCAGCUGAUACACGGAAGGAUGCAAUGGUGAUGUGACUUAGCAGAGAGGGGUCAUGUUUUGGAGGAGUGUCUGAAAGUCCUGCCUUGUGCAUCAUGGCAAGAAUUCAGAGCUGUGCACUGCUUCCUGCUCACUGCAGUGGGGCAGCGGGUGUAACUAGAUAGAUUUAGACUGUCUGGUGGAUUAAACCAUUAGUUGUAUAGAUAACAGUGAAUGUGGUAAUGGUCUAAGAGCGUGGCUUUAUCUUCCCUGUGCUACUCCAGCAGCUGAGGGAGCAUGAGCUGCAGGAACCUGCCUCAGCUAAUGUACUUAGGCUGAAGACUCAAACAGCAGAUGGUACCAGUGCCUAUGUCUAAGGCAAAUUUGUUUGGUUUCUUCACUUUUUGCAGGCCUUGUGGAGAACUUCAUGGCUUCAUGUGGAACUUCAGAACUUCAUGUGGAGAACUUCACAGCCAAAACUUCGGUAGUGGGAACACACUGAAAAGACCAGAAAUCCUUCCCAAGUCCUUGAGGUCUUGAACAGGAACAACUCCUUGUUUCUCCAGUUUUUCCUUCACAUGAUCUGACACGUUUUCUGUGUGCAAGUGAGUACUAAUUCAUCACAUAUGUUGGAUAGAAAAUUGAGAGUACAUAAUAGGUGAACCAGAAAAUGCCACAUUUUUUUCAGCCUAUUUCAUUUCAACAUCAUUUCAGUGAUGUGCAGUCCUUAGGAAAAUUGGAUCUAAAACUGUUACUAUGCUUUGUUAGGAAAAAAAAUGAAUUUAUCAAAGCUAUUUAAAGUAUGGGUAUAAUUCACAAAUCUCCAUAUUUAAGCAAGUAAGGUCACUUUUCAAUAUGUGUUUCUAGCUAGUUGGUG